GUGCUCAUUUCGGCAGCACAUGUCCUAAAAUUGGAACAAUAUAGAGAAGAUUAGCAUGGCCCCCACGCAAGGAGGAAACACAAAUUUCUGAAGCGUUCCAUAUUUUU